GGUUUAUCACCAACAUAUAAAUAUGUGCAUAGAAUUUUACACUGGAACCUAAGAUGAAAAAGGAGCAACUAUGUUGCCAUAUACUUAAAUUAAAUACCCACAUUAGAUGAGGUAAAUCAGUAUUCAUGGUAUAAGCAGCAAAUUGCUGGAAGGGAUUAAUAUACUGUUCAAUUAACACCCUGAAUUGUCCUAUCUUGUUUUUAAGGGCACCAAUCAUCUGAAUUCCAUCAGAAUGCAAUAUAUGAAAGUUCCCAUAAUCCUUAAGCUUGUGAAUCCAUGUGUAUGCAUAACCUAUACUAAAUGCUACAUUUCCAGAUCUCAGAAGGGACAUUCACUGAACAAACU